rnacentral:rRNA from 1 species
CCCUUAGAUGUUCUGGGCCGCACGCGCGCUACACUGAUGCAUUCAACAAGCCUAGCCUUGACCGAGAGGUCCGGGUAAUCUUUGAAACUGCAUCGUGAUGGGGCUAGAUUAUUGCAAUUAUUAAUCUUCAACGAGGAAUGCCUAGUAAGCGUGAUUCAUCAAAUCGCGUUGAUUACGUCCCUGCCCUUUGUACACACCGCCCGUCGCUCCUACCGAUUGAAUGUGUUGGUGAGGAGCUCGGAUUGGCAGCAGUUGGUGAUUCGCCACCGGCUAUUGCUGAGAAGUCCUCCAAACCGCCCCAUUUAGAGGAAGGAGAAGUCGUAACA